ACAUAUCCAGCCAAACCCGCCGCAAGGCGGGGACGGAAAGCCACGGGCCCCCGGGAUUUAAAAGUCAUAGCAUACGCGGGCAGCCGGGUUGCCGGAU
rnacentral:ncRNA from 1 species